UUCUUUGAAAAAGUCCCCUUUUCUUCCUGUUCAUCUUUCAAUCGUAAAAGCCCUCUUCCCUCCCACUUCACCUUGUAUUCGUAAAAGCAACAAAAGAGCAGAAAUUAAUAGCUUCAACUCCAGUCGCCACACCACAUUUUGCUUUUAAUUCUCACCCCGCACUACGCACCGUGUCCGGUCGUCUGAGACCCAACUCACAACUAUUGCCCAAGAAAUUUCCCCUCCGUGAGACCCGUCGGCGUUCACUACCGACUUCUUGCAAAAUCAUCACAAACAUCAAUCAAUUUCCAUUUUCCGGCUGUGCUCAGAAUGCUCGGGAAGGAACUAUGGAGUUACGCACGAAACAGUUGAUGAAAUGUCUCACAUGUUCCGAUCUCGGGUUCAGCUAAGUGAAGAACAACAACUUUAGAUUUUGAUGAACGUGACCAUUCGGACGUCAAAAAUUAGCCCAAAAUUGAAUGAAAAAGGGACGCAACCAACUUGAUUAGAAGACAGUGAUCGUGGUAUUUGAGUGAUGUUUGUAUGUUUAAUAUGACGCAAAACCUUAUUGUAGUGUAAUUACAUGUGUGUCGUCUUUGUGGAAAAAUGAAAUCGUCGAAGUUUUAUCUCGUUGAUGUAGCAUGGCCUAUCUCUAAACUUGAUUUUGUGGUGUGGUUUAUGGUUGCUAUAUGCUUGGAAAGGGCUAUUGUUCAAUCAAGAUUUUUUUCCCCCUUCCGUGUAUGUGGUGCUGUGAAUUAUAUACUUUUAUGUGUUCUAAAGGUGACAAAUAUGUAUCAAAAUAGCCGUAUAUUGGUGUAAUCAAAGAUCUCGUUACUUUUA